rnacentral:rRNA from 1 species
UACCAGCACCCCGAGUGGUCGGGACGUUUAUUGGGCCUAAAGCAUCCGUAGCCGGUUCUACAAGUCUUCCGUUAAAUCCAGCUGCUUAACAGAUGGGCUGCGGAAGAUACUAUGGAGCUAGGAGGCGGGAGAGGCAAGCGGUACUCGAUGGUAGGGUAAAAUCCGUUGAUCCAUUGAAGACCACCAGUGGCGAAGGCGGCUUGCCAGAACGCGCUCGACGGUGAGGGAUGAAAGCUGGGGGAGCAAACCGGG